rnacentral:lncRNA from 1 species
AAUAAUCAAACAAUUUAUUCAACAUAAUGUAUCAAAUUACCAAUUAAUAUACAAACAUAAAAAAAUAUAAUUAUAAUAUAAGUAUAUAAAUAUAAUGAUAUAUUAAUAAUAAUAUAAUAAUAUAAAAAUGAUUACUAACUUAACAUUUAUAAGCUUCUUUAUAUGAUAAAGAAUGUAUGUAUGUAUAAUGAUAUGUCCUAUUUAUUAUUAUUUACAGCCAUAGAGAAAAGAGGAAGCUGUGGCUUGAGAUUUGACUUGGUAAGAGCGGUAGACGAACUCGGUCUAGUUGUAAACAAGUUGAAAAUAGAAUUUUUGGGUUAAAAAGGAUCGGCAGAAGCUCUAACGCUCAAAAUCCAGUUCUCCCAGCGUUAGUAUAGCCAGAAUGUAUGAGAAUAGAGGUUGCAAAUACGCCGGUGAGGAGUUGACAGCGAAAGAGAAGCCGAUUUCGCCAGCUGGUGACAGGUCUUGCCGGAAAACCCAGAAAGAGUGCUAAUGGCUCUACUGCCCAAUCGGAAAACAACGCAGCUCUUUUCGUUAGCUGCGCUGACUGGAAACAAAGGGAGAGAGAGUCUAGGGCUUCGUCGUCGAUAAGAUAGAGAUUGGAGUCGCCAGAAAGUCGAAGAGCAGGAGACGCGAUUUUUCGGUCGAACAAAAUCGUAGGUCUCCUGCGCUGGCUGCGUAGGCCUGAGAUAACAGAGGAGAGGGAGAGAGAGAGAGCGGCAAGGGAGCUGUGAUGGCGACGGUAGGAGGCGAUGGCAGAGUCGACGUUGGUCUCAGGCGGUCGUAAAAUGAAAAGGGGAGGGGGAGGGGAUGUGGCACGAUUGGGAGAGAAAGGAGAAUGAGGAUGGAGAUUUUUUUUGGUAUUUUUAAGUUUCUAGAAUUUUCUUAUUGGUUGAUGGGAUUUGGGUCGAUUUGAGUCUGGUUUGGCUUAAAUCAUGGUUUUAGCUUGGUUUUUCAAUUAAUUUGUGAAUUUUUUUACGAUUUGGUUUAGUAAAUAUAAAAUAUAUUUGCAAUAAAUUUGUUCAAUAAAUUCAGAAGACAUUAAUUUUAUUAUUUUU